GAUGAACGCUGGCGGCGUGCCUAAUACAUGCAAGUCGAGCGAACGGACGAGACGCUCGCUUCUCUGCUGUUAGCGGCGGACGGGUGAGUAACACGUGGAUAACCUACCUAUAAGACUGGGAUAACUUCGGGAAACCGGAUCUCAUACCGGAUCAUAUUUUGAACCGCAUGGUUCAAAAGUGAAAGACGGUCUUGCUGUCACUUAUAGAUGGUUCCGCGCUGCAUUAGCUAGUUGGUAGGGUAACGGCUUACCAAGGCGACGAUGCGUAGCUGACCUGAGAGGAUGAUCAGCCACACUGGAACUGAGACACGGUCCAGACUCCUACGGGAGGCAGCAGUGGGGAAUCUUGCACAAUGGGCGAAAGCCUGACGCAGCCAUGCCGCGUGAGUGAAGAAGGUCUUCGGAUUGUAAAGCUCUUUUAGUUGGGAAGAACAGAAGUAAGUUAAUAUGUGGCCGUCUUGACGGUACCAAAAGAAUAAGCACCGGCUAACUUCGUG
rnacentral:rRNA from 1 species